GGGAAAUGGAGUCAGAUUAGAGGAUUUAUCGAGCUGAAUGGGGGUGAGCCUGUGUGCUGAGGAGUGUCUUGAGUCUCUUAAGAUCCUUCAGUUCCUUGGACACCAAGGUUGUGCAGCUUGUGGGAUCUUAGUUUCCUGACCAGAAAUCAGCCCUGUACCCCAAGCAGUGAAAGCAUAGGAUUCUAAUUAAUGGACCAUCAGUUCAGCUUUUCCUGCCUUGGGUCUGGUUCCAUGGAGAUUUCUGCUCAUGAAUCUUUGCUUCAAUAAGGUAAGCCAUGACUCCCUGGAUUCCCCCCGUCUUUCUAGUCUUGACAGCAGCAUUUGCCCUGUGUUUUCACCUCUUAUGGAUCAUAGAAGGGCUGUAGACUUUUCAGUCUGAUUUGCUUUUUACUUAUUUGGAGGGAACACAAGCUUCU
ensembl:lncRNA